AUUGAACGCUGGCGGCAGGCCUAACACAUGCAAGUCGAACGGUAACAGGAAGAAGCUUGCUUCUUUGCUGACGAGUGGCGGACGGGUGAGUAAUGUCUGGGAAACUGCCUGAUGGAGGGGGAUAACUACUGGAACCGGUAGCUAAUACCGCAUAACGUCGCAAGCCCAAAGAGGGGGACCUUCGGGCCUCUUGCCAUCGGAUGUGACCAGAUGGGAUUAGCUAGUAGGUGGGGUAACGGCUCACCUAGGCGACGAGCCCUAGCUGGUCUGAGAGGAUGACCAGCCACACUGGAACUGAGACACGGUCCAGACUCCUACGGGAGGCAGCAGUGGGGAAUAUUGCACAAUGGGCGCAAGCCUGAUGCAGCCAUGCCGCGUGUAUGAAGAAGGCCUUCGGGUUGUAAAGUACUUUCAGCGGGGAGGAAGGGAGUAAAGUUAAUACCUUUGCUCAUUGACGUUACCCGCAGAAGAAGCACCGGCUAACUCCGUG
rnacentral:rRNA from 1 species